rnacentral:rRNA from 1 species
AAAGGCGCUUUCGGGUGUCGCUGAUGGAUGGACCCGCGGUGCAUUAGCUAGUUGGUGAGGUAACGGCUCACCAAGGCCACGAUGCAUAGCCGACCUGAGAGGGUGAUCGGCCACAUUGGGACUGAGACACGGCCCAAACUCCUACGGGAGGCAGCAGUAGGGAAUCUUCGGCAAUGGACGAAAGUCUGACCGAGCAACGCCGCGUGAGUGAAGAAGGUUUUCGGAUCGUAAAACUCUGUUGUUAGAGAAGAACAAGGAUGAGAGUAACUGUUCAUCCCUUGACGGUAUCUAACCAGAAAGCCACGGCUAACUACGUGCCAGCAGCCGCGGUAAUACGUAGGUGGCAAGCGUUGUCCGGAUUUAUUGGGCGUAAAGCGAGCGCAGGCGGUUUCUUAAGUCUGAUGUGAAAGCCCCCGGCUCAACCGGGGAGGGUCAUUGGAAACUGGGAGACUUGAGUGCAGAAGAGGAGAGUGGAAUUCCAUGUGUAGCGGUGAAAUGCGUAGAUAUAUGGAGGAACACCAGUGGCGAAGGCGGCUCUCUGGUCUGUAACUGACGCUGAGGCUCGAAAGCGUGGGGAGCAAACAGGAUUAGAUACCCUGGUAGUCCACGCCGUAAACGAUGAGUGCUAAGUGUUGGAGGGUUUCCGCCCUUCAGUGCUGCAGCUAACGCAUUAAGCACUCCGCCUGGGGAGUACGACCGCAAGGUUGAAACUCAAAGGAAUUGACGGGGGCCCGCACAAGCGGUGGAGCAUGUGGUUUAAUUCGAAGCAACGCGAAGAACCUUACCAGGUCUUGACAUCCUUUGACCACUCUAGAGAUAGAGCUUCCCCUUCGGGGGCAAAGUGACAGGUGGUGCAUGGUUGUCGUCAGCUCGUGUCGUGAGAUGUUGGGUUAAGUCCCGCAACGAGCGCAACCCUUAUUGUUAGUUGCCAUCAUUCAGUUGGGCACUCUAGCAAGACUGCCGGUGACAAACCGGAGGAAGGUGGGGAUGACGUCAAAUCAUCAUGCCCCUUAUGACCUGGGCUACACACGUGCUACAAUGGGAAGUACAACGAGUUGCGAAGUCGCGAGGCUAAGCUAAUCUCUUAAAGCUUCUCUCAGUUCGGAUUGCAGGCUGCAACUCGCCUGCAUGAAGCCGGAAUCGCUAGUAAUCGCGGAUCAGCACGCCGCGGUGAAUACGUUCCCGGGCCUUGUACACACCGCCCGUCACACCACGAGAGUUUGUAACACCCGAAGUCGGUGAGGUAACCUUUUGGAGCCAGCCGCCUAAGGUG